UGUGCUUUUCCGAUCUCUAGAUUGGAAAAAUCUUAUCGAGAAUAUUAAAAUCAUUAAAUGUUAAUGUAAAUAAUAUAAAAAAGUGGUCAAUAAAACAGUUGGAGGACAAACCUAUGUUCUCUGGUUGAGAGUAGCGGUAAUUGGCGAAGACUUCAGAAUGGUCGGGCGAAGACAUUUGAAGAUUAAGAUACAUUACAAUCACGUCUAUUUUAUUACAUUUAUAAGAAUUUGGGUAUAAAAAUUGUCAAAUAUGCGGAUAAAAUAGUGAUAUUUAUAGUUUUCUUAUGAUUAUUUAAUUUUAUAUUGGAAACUAUCAGUUCUACAGUUUCAGCUGAUAAAACUUUUUUGUAGGAAAUUAAAUUCUCUACAAAAAAGGUCCUUCACAAUUUUGCUGUAGAACUAGUAAUUUAUGAAAAAAAUGAAAAAAAACCAUAAUUUUUUAGCAAAAAUCAACUUUACAAUUUUUUACUGGCGAGAUACUUCAUACAUUCUAAAUUAGUUGUAGGAACUUUUGAAGAGGAAGGAUCCCUCUAAAACUUCCGGCCAUGGUCAAUUAAAUAGUAUGAAAACUCGCGAUGCUACAGAUAAUUGACAAAAAAAUUAUUUCUACGUGUUAAUUAAAUGGGAAAAUUUCAAAUUCAUUUAGCGAGUACUUAAAAUUAAAAUUAAGAGCUAGGCUUUGGUGGGAAUUUUUUUUUAUAUGUUCAGAGUGAUAUUUCGUCUAUGGAGUG